UUCCCCCAGUGCAGUUAAAAAUCUGCAUAUAACUUUUGAUUGUCCAAAGACUUAACCACUAAUAGCCCACUGUUGACCGAAGCCUUACUGGUCACAUAGCAGUUGAUUAAUACAGAUUUUGUGUAUUAUCAUAUACCAUAUUCCUACAAUCAAACAAGGUAAAAAAAUGUUAAAGGCAUAAGAAAAAUACAUUUACCAUACUGUACUGUAUCGAAAAAAAUCUGUGUAUAUUUGGACCUGCACAGUUCAAACUCGUUGUUCAAGGGUCAACUGUAGUGUCCUUUAAUUCUCUAAUAGGGAUUGGUUAAUGUUGUGCUUUUUAUUUUGACAGUCUGAAAAAAGUAUGAACACAUUGAGAUCAUCUGGAUGCCUGACAUAGCUAAGUGCUAUGGGACAGAACAUGGUAUAUUGUAUUUCCUCGUUCUGUGGAAAACGUUAAUACCAUUAACAUCAGGCCUGAUUCAAGGCUGCCUGUAACUGCAAACUUUUCAGAGAACAUCUUGUUACCUGGCACCCUCCUGCCAGCCCCCAUGUGUUUUAUGAAAGUUCUCUUCCCACCUCUAGUUAUGUUUGUCUUCAGAGCCAUAUUUUUUGUUUCCAGUAACUGAGUAUUUUAUAUUUAGCUAAUUAAUCAUUUAACUAGCUAAAUCCCUUUAUUUCUUGUAUUUAUUUUAUAUUACAGAGGGAAUAUUUUAUCCACAGUGCUGAAAUUGAAAUAAAGAAUUUUUCUAUCUUUA